AAGGAAAUUUUUGUNCAAUGGGCGAAAGCYUGACACAGCGACGCCGCGUGAGGGAUGAAGGCUUCGGGUUGUAAACCUCUUUACUCAGGGAAGAAUAAUGACGGUACCUGAGGAAUAAGUCUCGGCUAACUACGUGCCAGCAGCCGCGGUAAUACGUAGGAGGCGAGCGUUAUCCGGAUUUACUGGGCGUAAAGCGGGCGUAGGCGGCUUUUCAAGUCGGAUGUGAAAUCUCCCGGCUUAAUAGGGAGGGGUCAUUCGAUACUNUUAAGCUAGAGGGCAGCAGGGGGAGGUGGAAUUCCCGGUGGAGUGGUGAAAUGCGUAGAUAUCGGGAGGAACACCAGUGGCGAAGGCGGCCUCCUGGGCUGUUGCUGACGCUGAGGCCCGAAAGCGUGGGGAGCGAACAGGAUUAGAUACCCUGGUAGUCCACGCUGUAAACGAUGGAUACUAG
rnacentral:rRNA from 1 species